rnacentral:lncRNA from 1 species
UGAUAAUUUGGCAACCCAAGGGCAAACUGCAAGUUAUCAAUUUAAAGAGUCAUAAUUUAAUGCAAUUGUGUAUUGAAUAAUUACUAAUUUUUUUUGGCAUGGGGAUAGACAAGAUAGAUAGGGAAGGCAGUGACCCCAGUUAAAUAUAAAUCAUAAUUUCUACAAUCAAGAAGGUUAUUGAGACGAAGUGAUAUAUAGAAAACUGUUAAAUAACUCGGCAGCAUUUGAGUAUUGGCAUAGGAGUGAUUUUAAAAAUAGAACAAGAAAUGAGAUUGAAGAAAGAGAUCAAUGAAGACGUAUUUGGAGGAAACUGUGCUGGAGGAGCUGGGAAUUAAGUUAGCUUUGGGGUGUGGAGAGGAUUCGGAGAGGAAUUGGGAAGAAGGGUCUAUUGUUUUUAGUUCUACCUCAUGUUGUAUUAAAAUAGUUUCUUGAACUUUAAAUUGUAGGCUGGAGGAGAUAGCCUAGUCAGUUACCAGUUACUGAGCAUCACCAAGGAGUUGAGGACAUCACAGGUGACCUUCCUGGGUGACCAGCCUUCCCACCUCCACGCAAGUCUGCGUGUGGUGGUGCACUGCCAAACGAGGGCCUGGCUGACAUUUUCUAGCAGAGCAUGGAUAAAGUAACCACCUCAUCAGAUUGUCUGCGGAUUCAUCGAGCUGUGUGUCAAGUGCUUCCAAAAUGAGGUUGGUGGAGCCGGUGGCUCCUCUUCAACGUGUUGCAUUGGCUGUCCCAUUGGACCCCUUGGCUUGACCAGCAUCUCUGUGCGGCUGACUACCAUGUUGACAUCUCCUAGUCCACCCUCAAUCCUAAAUUCUAGGCUCGUAUGCCCAGCUGUCUUCAUGGCCAUCCAAGAGGUGGCAGCACAAGAGAAGGUUCAGGAUUGCUUAGGCUCCUCCCCCUCCAAUGCUGUGCACUAUUGCAAAAGUUACUCUCUGUGCCUCAGCUUCCUAUGCGUUAGUUGGGAUAACAAUAUCUCUCUCUGGUGUGUUAAGAAGAUUAAAUGAGUUAAUAU